UACGAAGGGUGCAAACGUUGUUCGGAAUCAUUGGGCGUAAAGCGCACGUAGGCGGCUUCCUAAGUCGGAUGUGAAAUCCCUCGGCUCAACCGAGGACGUGCAUCCGAAACUGGGAGCUCGAGUAUGGAAGAGGGUCGCGGAAUUCUCGGUGUAGAGGUGAAAUUCGUAGAUAUCGGGAGGAACACCAGUGGCGAAGGCGGCGACCUGGGCUAAUACUGACGCUGAGGUGCGAAAGCGUGGGGAGCAAACAGG
rnacentral:rRNA from 1 species